UAAAAGUUUAAAUAAUUUUCCUGAGCAAAAUGGAAAGGUUUUCUUCCAAAACUUUUGUAUGCAUAGUUGUAUCAAGUUCUUCUUUAUUUAUUUUUUAUGCAAUUUAGUUUCGAAGAAACUAUAAAAUUUGAAACUGUGGAAACAACUAAAAGUAACAGGGUUGAUUGAUUAUGAUUGGUCUCAUCUAAUUAAGUCUAAACACUGGUCUGAAGAAGCUUUUAUUUUAGAGCAUUUAAGGAGGUCUGCAACUGAAGUGCUAAAGGAGCAAAGUGGUUCAUUGAUGUUAUCAUCGGGUUAAUUAUUACAGACAACAAUGGGAGGUGGAGAUUUG